rnacentral:rRNA from 1 species
CACUCCUGCGGGAGGCAGCAGUGGGGAAUAUUGGACAAUGGGCGCAAGCCUGAUCCAGCCAUGCCGCGUGAGUGAUGAAGGCCCUAGGGUUGUAAAGCUCUUUCACCGGUGAAGAUAAUGACGGUAACCGGAGAAGAAGCCCCGGCUAACUUCGUGCCAGCAGCCGCGGUAAUACGAAGGGGGCUAGCGUUGUUCGGAUUUACUGGGCGUAAAGCGCACGUAGGCGGACUAUUAAGUCAGGGGUGAAAUCCCGGGGCUCAACCCCGGAACUGCCUUUGAUACUGGUAGUCUUGAGUUCGAGAGAGGUGAGUGGAAUUCCGAGUGUAGAGGUGAAAUUCGUAGAUAUUCGGAGGAACACCAGUGGCGAAGGCGGCUCACUGGCUCGAUACUGACGCUGAGGUGCGAAAGCGUGGGGAGCAAACAGGAUUAGAAACCCGAGUAGUCCCAUG